rnacentral:rRNA from 1 species
AUUGAACGCUGGCGGCAGGCCUAACACAUGCAAGUCGAGCGAGCGGCGGACGGGUGAGUAAUGUAUGGGGAUCUGCCUGAUGGAUGGGGAUAACUACUGGAAACGAUGGCUAAUACCGCCUACUCUCGCCUGAACCCAUAUGGGAUUAGCUAGUAGGUGGGGUAACGGAGCACCUAGGCGCCGAUCUCUAGCUGGUCUGAGAGGAUGAUCAGCCACACUGGGACUGAGACACGGUCCAGACUCCUACGGGAGGCAGCAGUGGGGAAUAUUGCACAAUGGGCGAAAGCCUGAUGAAGCCAUGCCGCGUGUAUGAAGAAGGCCUUAGGGUUGUAAAGUACUUUCAGCUGGGAGGCGUUACCGACAGAAGAAGCACCGGCUAACUCCGUGCCAGCAGCCGCGGUAAUAC